rnacentral:rRNA from 1 species
GAUGAACGCUGGCGGCGUGCCUAAUACAUGCAAGUCGAGCGAACAGAUGAGGAGCUUGCUCCUCUGACGUUAGCGGCGGACGGGUGAGUAACACGUGGAUAACCUUCCUCUAAGACUGGGAUAAUUUCGGGAAACCGGAGCUAAUACCGGCUCAUAUAUUGAACCGCAUGGUUCAAUAGUGAAAGACGGUUUUGCUGUCACUUAUAGCUGGAUCCGCGCCGCAUGAGCUAGUUGGUAAGGUAACGGCUUACCAAGGCAACGAUGCGUAGCCGACCUGAGAGGGUGAUCGGCCACACUGGAACUGAGACACGGUCCAGACUCCUACGGGAGGCAGCAGUAGGGAAUCUUCCGCAAUGGGCGAAAGCCUGACGGAGCAACGCCGCGUGAGUGAUGAAGGUCUUCGGAUCGUAAAACUCUGUUAUUAGGGAAGAACAAAUGUGUAAGUAACUAUGCACGUCUUGACGGUACCUAAUCAGAAAGCCACGGCUAACUACGUG